UUACCUCAAAAACCACAACAGUCUGUUUCAUCCGUAUAGGAAUCAUCAGGUGGUCUGAUGAUUCCUAUACGGAUGAAACAGACUGUUGUGGUUUUU